rnacentral:rRNA from 1 species
GAUCCUGGCUCAGGAUGAACGCUGGCGGCGUGCCUAACACAUGCAAGUCGAGCGAAGCACUUUGCUUAGAUUCUUCGGAUGAAGAGGAUUGUGACUGAGCGGCGGACGGGUGAGUAACGCGUGGGUAACCUGCCUCAUACAGGGGGAUAACAGUUAGAAAUGACUGCUAAUACCGCAUAAGACCACAGCACCGCAUGGUGCGGGGUAAAACUCCGGUGGUAUGAGAUGGACCCGGCG